rnacentral:rRNA from 1 species
GAUGAACGCUGGCGGCGUGCCUAAUACAUGCAAGUCGAGCGGACGGACGGGUAGCUUUCUUGGCUGUUGUUAGCCGCGGGCGGGUGUGUAACACGUGGAUACUCUACCUGUCAGACUGGGAGCACUUCGGGAAACGGUAUAAAAUACCAGAUCAUAUUUUGAAGCGAUUGGUUCAUAGGUGAAAGACGGUCUUGCUGGCACGUAUAUAUGGAUCCGGGCUGCAUUAGCGAGUUGGUAAGGUAACGGCAUACCAAGGCAACGAUGCAUAGCCGAGCGGAUAGGGUGAUCGGCCACACUGGAACUGGGACACGGACCAGGCUCCUACGGGAGGGAGCAGUAGGGAAUGUUACGCAAUGGGCGAGAUCCUGACACAGCAACGCCGCGUGCGUGAUGAAGAACUUCGGAUCGUGAAACUCUGUUAGUAGGGAAGAACAGAUGUAUAAGUAGCUGUGGACAUAUUGACGGUAACUAGUCAAAAAGCCACGGCUAACUACGUG